UUUGUAAACAUACAGCUGCACAGAAUGUGAGCACAGCCCAUUCAAGGCCAGAAGAAAUGAGCACAAAUAAAUAUUAAGAAGAAUACAGGACAAUCGCUCAGAUAAACUAUGAGGAAAUGGCAGCUGAUGGAUCGAAACUUAAAGCGGGAACUCCACCCUGGCCGCAGUCUAAUUUCUAGCGGAAGAUUUAGAGGGGAACGAUUUUAAGAUCCAUUUCUUACUGAGCUACCUAAAUGCAAGGCGAUCCGUUGCUGUUUCCUGUGUAAAGACAUGUUUAUUUCCUUUCAACAGCAUCUUCAAAAAACAAGAAGGAGUCUGUUUGGCAACUUCCUUCCAAUAGCACCUGACUAUAACCUUGUCAUAUGCAACAUCUAUUCAGUGGAAACCAUGCUUUACCUGUUAGUCAGGUCCUGCGAUCCCAUCCUCUGUCAGCAGCCGAUCAUCAAUACACUGUCUUCUUGCAUUGGAAUUGGAAUUUCGGCUGGAGUAUGUUCCAUUGUUUAUGGGAAUAAUCAGGAAUCUUGAACACUGGGCUGUUUCUUAUGUUGCAUACUCAUGAAAGUCUAGGAGAAUCGGAGUUGAUUUCUGAGUGUUGG